rfam:Marinobacter sp. T13-3 scaffold_490, whole genome shotgun sequence.
GGUUAAGUGACUAAGCGUACACGGUGGAUGCCUAGGCAGUUGGAGGCGAUGAAGGACGUACUAACUUGCGAUAAGCCAUGACGAGACAGUAAGAGUCGUUAUCAGUCAUGGAUUUCCGAAUGGGGCAACCCACUCUGUUUACAGAGUAUCCGGCACUGAAUAUAUAGGUGCUUGGAGGCAAACCCGGAGAACUGAAACAUCUAAGUACCCGGAGGAAAAGAAAUCAACCGAGAUUUCCCUAGUAGCGGCGAGCGAACGGGAAGCAGCCCUUAAGCUGACAAUGCGUUAACAGAAUCUGUUGGGAAGCAGAGCCAUAGACGGUGAUAGCCCGGUAUGUGACGGCGCAUAGUGAGUGAAAACGAGUAGGUCGGGACACGUGUUAUCUUGACUGAAUAUGGGGGGACCAUCCUCCAAGGCUAAAUACUCCCAACUGACCGAUAGUGAACCAGUACCGUGAGGGAAAGGCGAAAAGAACCCCGGCGAGGGGAGUGAAAUAGAACCUGAAACCGUGUACGUACAAGCAGUAGGAGCCUCCUUGUGGGGUGACUGCGUACCUUUUGUAUAAUGGGUCAGCGACUUAUAUUUUGUAGCAAGGUUAACCGAAUAGGGGAGCCGUAGGGAAACCGAGUCUUAACUGGGCGUCGAGUUGCAAGGUAUAGACCCGAAACCGGGCGAUCUAGCCAUGAGCAGGUUGAAGAUUGAGUAACAUCAAUUGGAGGACCGAACCCACUAAUGUUGAAAAAUUAGGGGAUGACUUGUGGUUAGGAGUGAAAGGCUAAUCAAGCCCGGAGAUAGCUGGUUCUCCCCGAAAUCUAUUUAGGUAGAGCCUCGGAUGAAUACCUACGGGGGUAGAGCACUGUUUGGGCUAGGGGGUCAUCCCGACUUACCAACCCCAUGCAAACUCCGAAUACCGUAGAGUACUAUCCGGGAGACACACGGCGGGUGCUAACGUCCGUCGUGGAGAGGGAAACAACCCAGACCGCCAGCUAAGGUCCCAAAGUUAUGGCUCAGUGGGAAACGAUGUGGGAAGGCAUAGACAGCUAGGAGGUUGGCUUAGAAGCAGCCACCCUUUAAAGAAAGCGUAAUAGCUCACUAGUCGAGUCGGCCUGCGCGGAAGAUGUAACGGGGCUAAGCCAUACACCGAAGCUGCGGCAGUGUAUGUAUCACCACAGGCUAUUCCGCUUACGCACAGCAUGUGCGAAAGCGUCCCAACACUAGUUGCGGAUAACGGAGUAGUUUGCGGGAUACAUACACUGGGUAGGGGAGCGUUCUGUAAGCGGAUGAAGGUGUGUUGAGAAGCAUGCUGGACGUAUCAGAAGUGCGAAUGCUGACAUGAGUAACGAUAAUGCGGGUGAAAAACCCGCACGCCGGAAGACCAAGGUUUCCUAUCCCAUGCUAAUCAGGGUAGGGUAAGUCGGCCCCUAAGGCGAGGCGGAAACGCGUAGUCGAUGGGAAACAGGUUAAUAUUCCUGUACCGACAUGUACUGCGAUGGGGGGACGGAGAAGGCUAGGUGGGCCAGGCGUUGGUAGUCCUGGUGAAAGUUAGUAGGCUGAGGGUUUAGGCAAAUCCGGACCCUUAAGGCCGAGAAACGAGACGAGUACCUACGGGUACGAAGCCAUUGAUGCCCUGCUUCCGGGAAAAGCCUCUAAGCUUCAGGUACAUGUUGACCGUACCCGAAACCGACACAGGUGGUCAGGUAGAGAAUACUAAGGCGCUUGAGAGAACUCGGGUGAAGGAACUAGGCAAAAUAGUACCGUAACUUCGGGAGAAGGUACGCCACCUUUGGUGAAGACUUCGCGUCGUAAGCUGAAGGUGGUCGCAGUGACCAGGUGGCUGGGACUGUUUAUUAAAAACACAGCACUCUGCUAACUCGAAAGAGGACGUAUAGGGUGUGACACCUGCCCGGUGCCGGAAGGUUAAUUGAUGGGGUUAGCGUAAGCGAAGCUCUUGAUCGAAGCCCCGGUAAACGGCGGCCGUAACUAUAACGGUCCUAAGGUAGCGAAAUUCCUUGUCGGGUAAGUUCCGACCUGCACGAAUG